rnacentral:rRNA from 1 species
UACGAACUGUGCGAACGUUGUUCGGAAUUACUGGGCGUAAAGGGCGCGCAGGCGGCCGAUCAAGUCAUGCGUGAAAGCCCCGGGCUUAACCUGGGAAUUGCGCUUGGGACUGGUUGGCUUGAGUUCGGGAGAGGAGAGUGGAAUUCCCAGUGUAGAGGUGAAAUUCGUAGAUAUUGGGAAGAACACCGGUGGCGAAGGCGGCUCUCUGGACCGAUACUGACGCUGAGGCGCGAAAGCGUGGGGAGCAAACAG